UCUGAGCUGCGGCGCCGGAGCCCUCUCGGCGCACGUCGCUGUUGGCGCGGCCCCCCCGGGGCACACACCCUCCCUUACCUCGGGGUGCCGCGGGUGGGGGCCGUCCCCGGAGCGCAGCACUCGCUGCCAGUCCCCGUCCCGCUGCUAGUCCUGGUCCUGGCCCCGGGGGCCGGCCGAGCAUCCUCCGGCGGGGGCCCUGCCUGGCGCCGCGGCGAGCCGGGGCUGCCGCGGGGCGGGCGGGCGAGCGGCACCUCCAGCGCUCUGUGGCGGCGUAUCGGGCCCGGCUUUGUAUUUAACGCGGAGCUCCCCUCGGCUCCUCCCCUCCUUCUCGGAAAACACAUUGGCCUUCACUUUCGCUUUGCCGGAGCGCCGCCGCCGAGGAACGCCCCGCGGGCUCCCUGCCCCGCCGCUGGGGAUGCUCUUCAACCUGUCUUUUUCUAUCCGACCGCGUCUGAGUUUACUUUUUUUUGCUUUUUUUGCUUUUUUUUUUCGGACAGCUCCGUUGGAGCAGGCGGUGGCCGCGGGCAGGGUCGAGAGGUGCUGCGGGGGAAAUCCGAGCACGGAAGCGCUCUGAGGGCCCAGGGAGGUUGGGGGACAUUCGAGGAGUUUGAACAAGCCCAUCUGGAAGCCAGCUCUGCAGACCAUUUCCAGAGCAGCAAACAAUACUGGUAAAGUAAAGACUGAUUCAUUAAUUUUUUUCUUUAAUCGUGUUAUAUUCCUAUGCCAUAGAACACUGAUUUAUUUAAUUUACACGCCAGCAUUUACAUACCAUGGAAAGAAACCAACAGGUGACACCCACUUCUGCAGAACACAACUGCAGUUCUCUAAUUAUUUCCUCUAAGUAUUCUUUGUAAAUGAAAUGAGUCAGCUAAGCAGGACAGCAUUGCCCUUUUUACAGCCUGCAGGCCCCAUGGCAGGGAUGUGUGGGGAGUGACAGGAACUGGUUAAGUCUGCAUGCCAGUGGGAGCAGUGAAAUAAUUUCUCAUGCUGAGGCUGCCUGUACAAGCUGAGGUUUCCCCUCCACUCUCUGAGGAGAUGCUGUUUUUCCUCUCCACACACUGGGUGCAGCUGGCAGCUCCUGGCAGCUCCAGGAAGUCUCUUGCCAUAAUCCACCACAGAUUCCACUGAGCACAAGCUAACAUGUGAUGCAGAGCAUCUAUAUUAGGUUCUCAAAGAAAAAGAGCACUUGCUAAUGCUUUGGUUGAUGGUAUUUGCCACAAAAUUAGGUCACCAUAUCUUAGAGUGAUUCUUCUGUCACUCCAAGUGCAGGUUUUGGUUUGAUGACACCAUGGAAGAGGCCAGGCUCUUCUUGUUGUUGUAAGUAGUGGGGUUCUGAUGUCUGUUGCUCACAUUAACCUGCCCUGUCCAAGUCACAUCUAAAAUGCCACUUAUUCAGAGCCACCUCCUAAUUAAAACCUUGGCAGGCUGCACCUAGAGUUCUCCUGUUUCAGCAUGUGCCUUUGCUGGCUCCAGGUCUUUUGAAAUUCGUGGUCAAACACAAUUUAGUAUCCAUCUGCCAGACUGCUCUGCCCCAAAGCACAAAUUACAAGCAGCUGAUGCUCAUGUUAGGGAGGUAAAUACAACUGACUUCCAACCCAUUAAUCCAUUAAUUUCAACUCAUUGAUCCAUUAAUUUCAAAUCAUUAAUUAAAUUCAGUGAUGAUGAGAUAGUCUAAAAAAAAAAAGUUGAAGGAUGUUUUUCCAGACUUCAGUCAGCAUGUCCACAUUGCAUCUUUUAUGCAAUGCAGAACAAACACCAGGAACGAUGGAAUUUUAUAUUCUUGUGUUUGUGGAGUAUUGUUCUGUGUGCAAUGUAAGAAAAAAGUCUAAAUUAGGACAGAUCUCUUAAAGGUCAAAUAUGAAUACCAGGGAAAGGAAGACAGUCUCAGAGCCCUCACUUGCAGAGUAAUUAUUGCAAAGAUUGUUUUCACAUCUUCCCUCAGUGAUGCUGAGCUCCCAUGUGCUGCUUCCUUUUUCUGCAUGAGGAUAUGAAAGGCUCAAUCAUAUCAUUUGCAGUUUACUCUGUGACUGUGGGCAGGCAUUGUUGCUGGAGAUGCCAGAAUAGAGGUGUUGGCCUGCUCCAGUCACAUCCUCUGAGUUCUGAAUCCUCUGAGUUUCUGGGCUGACCAGAGACAAAGGUUUUUUUACAGAUCUGUUUUAUGGACAUUUGUGGGCCAUUCAGACAUAACCAUUAUGAUCUAUGUAUUCUUCAGCUCCACACUUUGUGACUUCUCUUGCAGUCAGCUGUGGAGCUCCCAGCUAGAUCAAUUUCUAAAGCAAGUGCAUACAAAAUACUAAAAAUAAAACUAAAAAAGAAAAACA
ensembl:lncRNA